CCGGCAUCAGGCACCAAAAUUGCCCAUAACGCCUAGUCCCACCACACCCCCAAGGGCUCUCAGCAUUGAUUAAUAUUGUCCAUAAGUGAAAACUUGAACCAGUUAUAGAGAAGAGAGCUGGCCAACUCGGUGCCAGCCGCCGCGGCUAAACCGCACGAGCUCAAGUUGAUAGUUUUCGGCGUUAAGCGUGAUUAAAGAUUUUCCUUAAUUAGAGUAAAACCUAAACUUAGCUGUAAUAAGCUUGUUAUUGAGAAAAACAAACACGAAAGUUGCUCUAAUCAACUCUUGAAUACACGACAGUAGGGAUACAAACUGGGAUUAGAUACCCCACUAUGCCCCACCGUAAAAUAUACUUACACCACCAACGCCCGGGUAUUACGAGCUUUAGCUUAAAACCCAAAGGACUUGACGGUGUCCCAUCCAACUAGAGGAGCCUGUUCUAUAAUCGAUAACCCCCGUUAUACCUAACCCCUUCUUGCCAAUCAGCCUGUAUACCUCCGUCGCAAACUUACCAUAUGAAUGAUAACAGUAAGUUUAAUGAUUACACCACCAACACGUCAGGUCAAGGUGCAGCUUAUGAUGAGGAAGCAAUGGGCUACAAUUUCUAAAAUAGAACAUACGAAAUGCUGCAUGAAACACAGCCACGAAGGCGGAUUUAGUAGUAAAAAGUAAAUAAAGUGUCCUUUUUAAUAAGGCCCUGGGACGUGUACACACCGCCCGUCACCCUCUUCAACAGCACAUAAUAUGUCUUUAACAAUUUCUGCACUAUAGAAGAGGCAAGUCGUAACAUGGUAAGUGUACCGGAAGGUGCACUUGGAUUACAAAGUAUAGUUUAACAAAACCUCCCGCUUACACCGAGAAUAUAUCUGUGAAAACCAGAUUACUUUGAGCCUAAAAUUAAGCCUAAUACAAUUUUAUAAAACCCAUAUACUUAUACUAAACCACAAUAAAACAUUUUACAAGUUUAGUAGAGGCGAUCAAAAAACUCUUUAGCGCUUUACCUCUAGUACCGCAAGGGAAAAAUGAAAUAGUUUUGAAAUAGCCCUAAAGCAAAACACAGCAGAGAUCACAACUCGUACCUUUUGCAUCAUGGUUUAGCCAGUCUUCUUCAAGCAAAGCGAAACAUCAGUUUGAUACCCCGAAACUAAGCGAGCUACUUAAAAACAGCUUAAUAGAGCCAACCCGUCUCUGUUGCAAAAGAGUGGGAUGAUUUUUAAGUAGAGGUGAAAAGCCUACCGAGCUUAGAGAUAGCUGGUUAUUUAGGAAAAGAAUUUUAGUUCAACCUUAAGUUUACCCAUUAAUCUCACAAAAUUUUUAAACCUAAGAGCUAUUCAAAUAAGGCACAGCUUAUUUGAAAAAGGAUACAACCUAAAAAAAGGGGUAAAAAAAUUUAACACACGACAAGUGGGCCUAAAAGCAGCCACCUUAAAGAAAGCGUUAAAGCUCCUCCUCCCUCCACCUAAAAAUACCUAAACACAUCUUCAACCCUUUAUUUCUACUAAAUGAUUCUAUACUAUUAUAGAAGCCACCAUGCUAAAACUAGUAACAAGAAAUAGAUUUUCUCCAAAAUACAAGCAUAAGCCAAAAUGGACCAACCAUUGGCUAUUAACGUCAAUUAGACUUAUAUAGUAACUACACCAGAAAAAACUAUUAAUCUCUGCGUUAACCUUACACAAGCGUAUUUCCGGAAAGAUUUAAAAAAAGAGAAGGAACUCGGCAAAUCAUAACCCCGCCUGUUUACCAAAAACAUCGCCUCUUGAAGAAUUAUAAGAGGUCCAGCCUGCCCAGUGAUAAAAUUAAACGGCCGCGGUACCCUGACCGUGCGAAGGUAGCAUAAUCACUUGUUCUCUCAAUAGGGACUUGUAUCAACGGCAUCACGAGGGUUAUACUGUCUCCUCUUUUUAAUCAGUGAAACUGACCUCCCCGUGAAGAGGCGGGGAUAUAUUUACAAGACGAGAAGACCCCAUGGAGCUUUAAACCCAAUAGCAGCCCACACUAAACUCACCCAAGAAUAGAUAAAGCAAUGCCUAUUGGUUUUGGGUUGGGGUGACCACGGAGAAAAACUAAACCUCCACGACGAACGGACCUUAAUCCUAAUCUACGAGCUACCACUCCAAGAAUCAAUAUUUUGAUAUAAUAUGAUCCGGUAACCGAUCAACGAACCAAGUUACCCUGGGGAUAACAGCGCAAUCCAUUUCAAGAGCCCCUAUCGACAAAUGGGUUUACGACCUCGAUGUUGGAUCAGGGUAUCCCAGUGGUGCAGCCGCUACUAAAGGUUGUU
rnacentral:misc_RNA from 1 species